UACGUAGGGUGCAAGCGUUAAUCGGAAUUACUGGGCGUAAAGCGUGCGCAGGCGGUUUUGUAAGUCUGACGUGAAAGCCCCGGGCUUAACCUGGGAAUUGCGUUGGAGACUGCAAGGCUUGAAUCUGGCAGAGGGGGGUAGAAUUCCGCGUGUAGCAGUGAAAUGCGUAGAUAUGCGGAGGAACACCGAUGGCGAAGGCAAUCCCCUGGACCUGUACUGACGCUCAUGCACGAAAGCGUGGGGAGCAAACAGG
rnacentral:rRNA from 1 species